rnacentral:rRNA from 1 species
UACGGGGGGGAGCAAGCGUUGUUCGGAUUUACUGGGCGUAAAGGGCGCGUAGGCGGCCGGUUGCGUCGGAUGUGAAAGCCCGGGGCUCAACCCCGGAACGGCAUCCGAUACGGGCUGGCUCGAGACCGAGAGAGGUGAGUGGAAUACCCAGUGUAGAGGUGAAAUUCGUAGAUAUUCGGAAGAACACCAGUGGCGAAGGCGGCUCACUGGACUGGUAAUUGACGCUGAGGUGCGAAAGCGAUGGGGAGCAAA